CUUAACCCGAGUGGUAGAAGGCUGAAGAGUUGUGGCGAAAAAUGGGCCCCAGAGAAAAAGCCGGAUGCAGCGCCUCAUGGCCAAGGGUGGCUAGACAAUGAAAACAUAACCUGCUCUGAUUUCUUUCAGUAGGAUUUGGGAGACAGUUAGGGCUUGGCACUCGUUGAAAACUGUUUUUAAGAAGCCUUGGGACAAAACCAAUUCAAUAACUAUUGAUGUUCACAAUCUGUCAACUUCUCCCCUAGGGGUUAAAAAAAGACCCUCAGAGCAGAGAGCAAAUUGGGAUGUGGAGACUCUCGGAGUGAUACCAGAGAGAAAACUCCAGAGGAGCGGAGCUCCCGGCUGCUCUUCUCUGCGCUGCAUCCCCAGCCCCCGGCACGGUGCCUGCUCAUGCAUGGUGCUUAAUGAAUAUUUGGAAUGAAUGGAUGAGUAAAUGAAUAAACAAAGGUCAUCUUUAUUUAUACCACCAGGAGUACAAUAUUGAUUUUAAAAUGAGAAAGAUUCCUAAAAUGAUCACUUAAUUGUUAUAUCACACUAGACAAUCUCUAGGUCUCAGUGUUCCCAUCUGCAAAAUGCAGUUGAUGACAGUAUCUUGUGAUGUAGGAUUGUUUAGACAAUUAGAUGAGAAGAUGAACAGAAAGGGCCUGUUACCACUUAGGAGGGGGUAGAUCUCACCCCUUCCCUUUCUUUUUUGAAAUUGGAUAGGUCACAACUCUGUUCCUAAUCAUUUCUGUUACUUUUGCAGCAUUCAGUGGAAUCUGCCUUUAAAAUAGAAAAAAAAAAAAAAAAGAUUUCAAAUAUGUAGGACAGUCUGUUUCUUAAAAAAUCUUAUGGUCCUUUGAAAAUGAUUGUUUGACCUGCUGAGUGCAGCCAGUGUUGGGGUCUCUUAUGAAACUUGAGUGUGCACUGUAACAGGGGGAGCCAUGGUUUUUCUUGAGUGUGAGUUCUGUAGAUUCAGAUACAGAGUAAAGACAUGAAAACCAAAACGUGGAAUAAAUAUUCAGAUACAGAGUAAAGAUAUGAAAAACAAAACGUGGAUACCAGGAUAAAGCAAAAACUCCAAACACGCAAGGAAAGGAAGGCUGUGGGUUUCAAGAACCCAGUGACUUGAGGAACCUCGGGGAGCUGGGUGGAUGCCUCGAGAAACCAGAGCACAGCAGAUGAACGGGUGAACCAAGGAAACUGCACUCAAAGAAAUGUCUUGUAACGGCUCUAACUUUGGUUUGGCAUGUCACCUUUCUAACGAUAUCAGGCAGAGGAAAUAUUCCGUCAAAGCUGUGAGUGUGGAAGGAAACAGCCUGGAAGGGGUCCAAAGACACACUGUAUCUUAGCAACUUUGGAGGUUCAGAAAAGCCAACAUAUCAGUUUGGGAAGCCGGCGGGUGGAGGUUCCACCCUACCCAACCACGAAUCACUGAAAGACACUCCCCAAGGUGAAGACGCAACCGUCUUCAAGAUCUGCCACCUAAGCUGCUGAAAAAUCAAAUGGCUCUCAGUGAGCAGGGAAUGAUACUCUCAUGAAAACAAGAUAAAAUGACGACGUCAAAAACCCAAAACAGGAAACAAUCAUAACCAGGUGAAGUCAAACACAGAAUGACUGAAAAAUGCCUUGCAGGAGCAUGUUGGGCCAAUUAAAAAUGUUAAACAAGCACAAAAUUAACUUCCACAAGAAGCAAAGGACAGCAGGAAUGUGGGUACUGUCUAUUCCAAGACCUUCGCUUGAGGUCUAAGGGUCUGGGUUUUGGAGAAUCCUUCUUUCUUAUCUCUGGAGAAUGGGCGAACUCUAAAUAUCCACUAAAGAAGUCUCGGGUGUCACCUUGUAGCCCCUAACCUUGUCUUUUGUAGCAAAGUGGCAAGUAUAUAUUUGGGUCGGGGGAGGUCUAAAUGAACUUGACUGAUAUUGACCUACAUCCUCGACAUUCUCUUCCCAAUUUGAUGCUGAUUGUAAAUCCUAACAAUCUAAACCCUGGCCCCUCUAAGCACAAUUCUGAAGCCCAGUGUGGAUCCUAACCCUCAGAGAACAUGGUAUAUAAUUGCCAUAUAGGUAGAAAUCCAUUCCCUGCUCUAAAGCCCAACUAAGGUUAUCUGUAGUUCCACUGUUCCUUGCUCUUAGGCAAUUAAGUCAUCACAUAGGUGAAACAUGUCAUUUCAAUGGAAGAGAAGAAGUGGGUGCUUUUAAAGCCUUUUCUUUCCUCUAAGGACUUAUUGUCCUUAAAACAUCAUUCAGUGGCAAUUAAAAAUAGGAAA
rnacentral:lncRNA from 10 species